rnacentral:rRNA from 1 species
GACGAACGCUGGCGGCGUGCUUAACACAUGCAAGUCGAACGGAAGGGCCCUGCUUUUGUGGGGUGCUCGAGUGGCGAACGGGUGAGUAACACGUGAGUAACCUGCCCUUGACUUUGGGAUAACUUCAGGAAACUGGGGCUAAUACCGGAUAGGAGCUCCUGCUGCAUGGUGGGGUUGGAAAGUUUCGGCGGUUGGGGAUGGACUCGCGGCUUAUCAGCUUGUUGGCGGGGUAGUGGCUUACCAAGGCUUUGACGGGUAGCCGGCCUGGGAGGGUGACCGGCCACAUUGGGACUGGGGUACGGCCCAGACUCCUACGGGAGGCAGGAGUGGGGAAUAUUGCACAAUGGGCGGAAGCCUGAUGCAGCAACGCCGCGUGCGGGAUGACGGCCUUCGGGUUGUAAACCGCUUUCGCCUGUGACGAAGCGUGAGUGACGGUAAUGGGUAAAGAAGCACCGGCUAACUACGU